UUUUUUUUGGGGGGGGGGGGGGUGAAUGAAGGUUAAAAAUCUCACAAAUUUCGGCCAUAAUUUCAGUUGUAAUUGCAAUUUUUCAGCCAAUGCCCUUUUUAUUUUAUUUAGUUGUCAACUAAUUUAAUUAUUUCUGUAAACAAUUUUUGUAUUUUUCUUAAAAUUAACCUCACUGCAAUGUACACUCAUCUCAGAGGGACCGAUAUAUCGGUACAAAGAAGAGUAUUUUCCAAAACCUCGGUGCUAACAGCUUUAGGAAUGAAGGACAGUGGUCUAGACAUUUUCGUAGGGGAUUAGAAAUGGAACCCCCCAAGAAGCAACACCUCCUUGACUAACAUAGUCGACUUACCCAAUGAACACAGCCUCCCAUCUCCCACUCCUUCUGCAGGUACUACACAUUAAAUGCUACUGAUCAGACAAAGUCUUUGAUACCUACAAGACAGAUACUCGUUAAAGUUUGAGGGUAGUGCGUCACGUUGAUAGUUAUAAGUAGUGGAGUAGAUUUGAAGUUGGUUAAGUUCUCUUUGACUCUUGGUAAGUAAGUUUACAUGGUUAUAUUUUACGUUUAGUUGUAUGUAUAUCUUUGUUUGUACAUGCGAAGCGGAAAGUGACAUGAAUGUAAUACAGUAAUGCUAGUAAAUCAAUAAAUAAUAUAGCUAUUUAUGUCAUAAAAUAUCUGCGUAUUCAGCAAUAAAGCGGGAAACGUUUGAAACAUUUAAAAUUCAAUAUUCAGUUCCGCAUCUUUUUCUGUUUGAAAUAUUAUUGUUAGUAGACCUACUUACAAAACUAAAACUAGAACAUUGUUGUUGGUAGGUUGACUAUCGUUAAGUGGUGUAGUUUUUAAUGUUAAAUUCUUUGCAGUUGUUGGGGGGGGGUAAUAAAUAGCUAUUUUUACUUUAAAUAAAGUGUUGCCUUACACGAAGAGUAUAAAAACAUUUUUUUUGUUGUUUAAUUUUCAAAAAAUCUUAAAUUAAAUUUUCUUGUAGACCUACACUUUAGGUCUUAAAAAACGGGGGAUCAUUUUGCUAGACACAAAGGGUAAGUAUCAAAACAGUAAUGUCGAAAGUUAAACAGAAUGAGGGUAUUUCCGCCCCUCUAUCAUCUCGAUUAGUUUGUAAGCUUCCAGUGACCUGAUUGUGACCUGAGAGACCUAUGUUCUUUGAUACCAUGACGGCCCUGUUUUGGUAUUUAACCGUCCCCUUGGGCUCGGAGUUCUACGAUCCCCUUGUGUUUGAAACCGGAAGUAAGACCUGGUAGUGCGCAGAUAUGAUGCUGGCGUAAAAGGGCGGGGUGCUCGCGUGAAAGGUGCACGGGUGAUGGGGCGGGGUGCACGGGUGAUGGGGCGGGGUGAACGAGUGAUGGGG